rnacentral:lncRNA from 1 species
CAGCCUUUCUUUUCAUCUCAAGAGCAAUGGAAAAAUGUCUGUCAAGCCUGAGAGCCACAGAGCUCCAUUCAGGCUCUGACGUUAUCUGUCCUGGAUGUGUCACCUUCCAUCUACAGGCACUGGAGGUGCAGCUGAGAGUGGUGAAGACAUUUACCUGGGAAGAAGUGGCUGAGCGAGGACGGAGGGUCCCUAGGAAUCAAAGAACCAGUGCCACUGCUGAGAAACCUUACAGGGUCUAGAAGCUUCAAAGGGCAAGGGUGAAAAGUAGUUAAGAGAACAGCAGAGACUGCCUGAAGCUGAUAAACCAGAAGCCAAGUGAUCAGACCCCGGAGAUGAGAGGCAGACAGGAUCCUGCUUUCAAUCAUGAAAGAAGGCGAUGUGCAGAUAAGAAGGAUG